AGGUCCUGUAAAAGCAAUUUGACAGUUUAAUUACAUAAAUUGACAGAAGGGUUUAAUCUGAGUUAUCUUGGGCAAACAAUUUGACGAUUCAAGUAAACAAGCAACCGCCACGAGUUCAACUCUCAGAAGGAUCUCUGCACUUUCUAGCCAGUGCAGGUACAAGAGCAUGGUUUGAUUGUAAUGUUCAAGAACAGUGAACAAGUAAACCAACCUUGUGUAAAUCUCAGCUUUGGCAGCGAGUUUGGCUGCUCGUUUUUGCUUCACUUGUUCGUACAAAUCAUCUUCUGAGGAUUCAGCAUCUUCAUCCA